rnacentral:rRNA from 1 species
CCCCAGACUCCUACGGGAGGCAGCAGUGGGGAAUAUUGCACAAUGGGGGAAACCCUGAUGCAGCGACGCCGCGUGAGUGAAGAAGUAUUUCGGUAUGUAAAGCUCUAUCAGCAGGGAAGAAAAUGACGGUACCUGACUAAGAAGCCCCGGCUAACUACGUGCCAGCAGCCGCGGUAAUACGUAGGGGGCAAGCGUUAUCCGGAUUUACUGGGUGUAAAGGGAGCGUAGACGGCAUGGCAAGUCAGAUGUGAAAGCCCGGGGCUCAACCCCGGGACUGCAUUUGAAACUGUCAGGCUGGAGUGCAGGAGAGGUAAGUGGAAUUCCUAGUGUAGCGGUGAAAUGCGUAGAUAUUAGGGGGAACACCAGUGGCGAAGGCGGCUUACUGGACUGUAACUGACGUUGAGGCUCGAAAGCGUGGGGAGCAAACAGGAUUAGAUACCCUCGUAC